rnacentral:rRNA from 1 species
AGACCCGAAACCCGGUGAUCUAGCCAUGGGCAGGUUGAAGGUUGGGUAACACUAACUGGAGGACCGAACCGACUAAUGUUGAAAAAUUAGCGGAUGACCUGUGGCUGGGGGUGAAAGGCCAAUCAAACCGGGAGAUAGCUGGUUCUCCCCGAAAGCUAUUUAGGUAGCGCCUCGUGAAUUCAUCUCCGGGGGUAGAGCACUGUUUCGGCUAGGGGGCCAUCCCGGCUUACCAACCCGAUGCAAACUGCGAAUACCGGAGAAUGUUAUCACGGGAGACACACGGCGGGUGCUAACGUCCGUCGUGAAGAGGGAAACAACCCAGACCGCCAGCUAAGGUCCCAAAGUCAUGGUUAAGUGGGAAACGAUGUGGGAAGGCCCAGACAGCCAGGAUGUUGGCUUAGAAGCAGCCAUCAUUUAAAGAAAGCGUAAUAGCUCACUGGUCGAGUCGGCCUGCGCGGAAGAUGUAACGGGGCUAAACCAUGCACCGAAGCUGCGGCAGCGAACGUAUCACUUAAAACGAUUCAGAAGCUUACGAUUGACGGAGCGAAGCGACGUCAAAGCGUAUACAAAGUCGAGUCGGUUUAAGGAUACGUUCGUUGGGUAGGGGAGCGUUCUGUAAGCCGUUGAAGGUGGCCUGUGAGGGUUGCUGGAGGUAUCAGAAGUGCGAAUGCUGACAUAAGUAACGAUAAAGCGGGUGAAAAGCCCGCUCGCCGGAAGACCAAGGGUUCCUGUCCAACGUUAAUCGGGGCAGGGUGAGUCGACCCCUAAGGCGAGGCCGAAAGGCGUAGUCGAUGGGAAACGGGUUAAUAUUCCCGUACUUGGUGUUACUGCGAAGGGGGGACGGAGAAGGCUAUGUUGGCCGGGCGACGGUU